rnacentral:rRNA from 1 species
GGGGAAUUUUGGCCAAUGGGGGAAACCCUGAUCCAGCCAUCCCGCUUUUGCGAUGAAGGCCUUCGGGUUGUAAAGCACUUUUGCCAGGAAGGAACCUCCCCGGGUUAUUCCCCCGCGAACCUGCCGGUACCUCCAGAGUAAGCCCCGCCUAACUACGUGCCAGCAGCCGCGGUAAUACGUAGGGUGCAAGCGUUAAUCGGAAUUACUGGGCGUAAAGCGUGCGCAGGCGGUUCGGAAAGAAAGAUGUGAAAUCCCAGAGCUUAACUUUGGAACUGCAUUUUUAACUACCGGGCUAGAGUGUGUCAGAGGGAGGUGGAAUUCCGCGUGUAGCAGUGAAAUGCGUAGAUAUGCGGAGGAACACCGAUGGCGAAGGCAGCCUCCUGGGAUAACACUGACGCUCAUGCACGAAAGCGUGGGGAGCAAACA